rnacentral:rRNA from 1 species
AUACGGGGGGAGCAAGCGUUGUUCGGAAUUACUGGGCGUAAAGGGCCUGUAGGCGGCCCAUCCAGUCGGAGGUGAAAUGUCUCGGCUUACCCGGGAACCUGCCUCCGAUACUGUUGGGCUUGAGGACGGGAGAGGAAAGUGGAAUUCCAGGUGUAGCGGUGAAAUGCGUAGAUAUCUGGAAGAAAACCAGUGGCGAAGGCGACUUUCUGGACCGUACCUGACGCUGAGGGGCGAAAGCCAGGGGAGCGAACGGGAUUAGAUACCCCAGUAGUCC